rnacentral:rRNA from 1 species
CCUACGGGAGGCAGCAGUGAGGAAUAUUGGUCAAUGGGCGCGAGCCUGAACCAGCCAAGUAGCGUGAAGGAUGACUGCCCUACGGGUUGUAAACUUCUUUUAUAAAGGAAUAAAGUGAGGCACGUGUGCCUUUUUGUAUGUACUUUAUGAAUAAGGAUCGGCUAACUCCGUGCCAGCAGCCGCGGUAAUACGGAGGAUCCGAGCGUUAGCCUGAUUUAUUGGGUUUAAAGGGAGCGUAGAUGGGUUGUUAAGUCCGUUGUGAAAGUUUGCGGCUCAACCGUAAAAUUUCCAUUGAUACUGGCAGUCUUGAGUACCGUUGCGGUAGGCGGACUUCGUGGUGUAGCGGUGAAAUGCUUCGCUCUCACG